rnacentral:misc_RNA from 1 species
GACCUCAUUGAACAAGAAAAGAAACUGCUAUGGCUCGUUCAAGCUUAGUGUUCUUGAUGUUAAUGGCGGUGCUUGCGGUGUCCUCCGUGGCACAGUCACCAACAUCCUCCCCUGUAUCUUCUCCGACAAAAUCUCCGGUAGCUACUCAAACACCUGCUUCUACCGUUAAGCCACCUGUAUCUGCGCCUUCUCCAUUGAAGACUCCAAAGGCAAAUGCACCAUCGCCGGCUACUGUUGACUCGCCUCCAUCUCCUCCUCCUUCUCUGUCUUCCCCGGCUCCUGCUACAAUUGCUUUCCCUCCUUCCUCAAUUUCUGGCACACCAUCUGAAGCCCCUGCUCCUGCUGAAAACGGUGUGGGAUUAAAUAGAUUUGCUAUUGCUGGGUCUCUAGCUGCCGGUGCUUUCGCUGCCGUUUUGGUGUUAUAGAGUGAAUAUAUUAUAUAUGUUUCUCUGAAUAUAUAAUAUAUUAUAUAUGUUUCCCUGAAAUGUGUUUCAUUUUAAUUAUUUACAUUUUUUUAGCAAUUCUUUGUAUUAUUUUAUCUGAAAAAAAAAUUAAACUUUUGUAUUAUUUUUUUAGUUUUUCCCAUUAGCAAAUUAUUUAAUUUUCAAAAAUAGUUGGAAUUUGAAAUUCUUUAUUUUUUAAAUAUGAGUUUUUUUUUAAUAUUAUGAAAAAAUUAAUGCAUA